rnacentral:rRNA from 1 species
AACGAACGCUGGCGGCAUGCCUAACACAUGCAAGUCGAACGAGACCUUCGGGUCUAGUGGCGCACGGGUGCGUAACGCGUGGGAACCUGCCCUUAGGUUCGGAAUAACUCCCCGAAAGGGGUGCUAAUACCGGAUAAUGUCUUCGGACCAAAGAUUUAUCGCCUUUGGAUGGGCCCGCGUUGGAUUAGCUAGUUGGUAGGGUAAAAGCCUACCAAGGCGACGAUCCAUAGCUGGUCUGAGAGGAUGAUCAGCCACACUGGGACUGUGACACGGCCCAGACUCCUACGGGAGGCAGCAGUGGGGAAUAUUGGACAAUGGGCGAAAGCCUGAUCCAGCAAUGCCGCGUGAGUGAUGAAGGCCUUAGGGUUGUAAAGCUCUUUUACCCGGGAUGAUAAUGACAGUACCGGGAGAAUAAGCUCCGGCUAACUCCGU